rnacentral:rRNA from 1 species
GACGAACGCUGGCGGCGUGCUUAACACAUGCAAGUCGAACGAUGAACCCGGAGCUUGCUCCGGUGGAUUAGUGGCGAACGGGUGAGUAACACGUGAGUAACCUGCCCUUGACUCUGGGAUAACUGCGGGAAACUGUAGCUAAUACCGGAUACGACCCUCGGCGGCAUCGCCAGGGGGUGGAAAGAAUUUCGGUCAAGGAUGGACUCGCGGCCUAUCGGCUUGUUGGUGCGGUAACGGCUCACCAAGGCGACGACUGGUAGCCGGCCUGAGAGGGUGACCGGCCACACUGGGACUGGGCCGCGGCCCAGACUCCUACGGGAGGCAGCAGUGGGGAAUAUUGCACGAUGGGCGCAAGCCUGAUGCAGCAACGCCGCGUGAGGGAUGACGGCCUUCGGGUUGUAAAGCUCUUUUAUCCGGGACGAUAAUGACGGUACCGGAGGAAUAAGCCCCGGCUAACUUCGUGCCAGCCGCCGCGGUAA